rfam:Triticum aestivum genome assembly, contig: Triticum_aestivum_CS42_TGACv1_scaffold_030624_1BL
CACAUACUUCCUCCGUCCGAAAAUACUUGUCAUCAAAAUAAAUAAAAGGGGAUGUAUCUAGACGCAUUUUAGUUCUAGACACACCCUCUUUAUCCAUUUUAAUGUCAAGUAUUUUCAGACGGAGCGAGUACUGC